GGGGGGGGGGGGGGGGGGGGGGGGGGGGGGGGGGGCGGGGGGACGGAGGGGAGGGUUGCGUUGCUGAGGGUAGGUGCGGACGGGGGAGGAAGACGUGGGUAAACUACCUAGAGAACUGGGAUAACGUGGGGACACCGGAGCUAAGACCGGAUAAUAUUUUGAACCGCAUGGUUAAACAUGGAAAGACGGUCUAGCGGUCACUGUUACAUGUAUCCGCGCUGCAUUAGCUAGUUGGUAAGGUAACGGCUUACCAAGGCAACGAAGCAUAGCCGACCUGAGAGGGUGAUCGGCCACACUGGAACUGAGACACGGUCAAGACUCCUACGGGAGGCAGCAGUAGGGAAUCUUCCGCAAUGGGCGAAAGCCUGACGGAGCAACGCCGCGUGAGUGAUGAAGGUAUUCGGAUCGUAAAACUCUGUUAUUAGGGAAGAACAUAUGUGUAAGUAACUGUGCACAUCUUGACGGUAAUUAAUCAGAAAGCCACGGCUAACUACGUG
rnacentral:rRNA from 1 species